GAUGAACGCUGGCGGCGUGCCUAAUACAUGCAAGUCGAGCGAACAGACGAGGAGCUUGCUCCUCUGACGUUAGCGGCGGACGGGUGAGUAACACGUGGAUAACCUACCUAUAAGACUGGGAUAACUUCGGGAAACCGGAGCUAUACCGGAUAAUAUAUUGAACCGCAUGGUUCAAUAGUGAAAGACGGUUUUGCUGUCACUUAUAGAUGGAUCCGCGCCGCAUUAGCUAGUUGGUAAGGUAACGGCUUACCAAGGCGACGAUGCGUAGCCGACCUGAGAGGGUGAUCGGCCACACUGGAACUGAGACACGGUCCAGACUCCUACGGGAGGCAGCAGUAGGGAAUCUUCCGCAAUGGGCGAAAGCCUGACGGAGCAACGCCGCGUGAGUGAUGAAGGUCUUCGGAUCGUAAAACUCUGUUAUUAGGGAGGAACAAAUGUGUAAGUAACUAUGCACGUCUUGACGGUACCUAAACAGAAAGCCACGGCUAACUACGUG
rnacentral:rRNA from 1 species